ensembl:lncRNA
GGGUAUAGAUAGCCCCUACUGAAUUCAAGAUUUAAAAAAUAUUUUCCAGAGUUAUUGACAUAUAAUUGACAUAUCGCAUUGUAUACAUUUUAUAUAAUUUUUACUUGUUUAUUUGUCUGACUGUGCUGAGUCGUCUUAGCUGCGUGUGCUCUCUGCUCUCGUUGCAGAAGGUGGGGGCUCCUCUCUGGUUGCGGUGCGCGGGCUUCUCGCCGCAGCGGCUUCCUUUGUUGCGGAGCACCGGCUCUGGGCGCUCGGGCUCCCGCAGUUGCGGCUCCCGGGCUCUAGAGCGCAGGCUCAGUAGUUGUGGCGCCCGGGCUUCGCCGCCGCUCAGCGUGUGGGUUCUUCCCAGACCCGGGAUAGACCCCCGUGUCUCCUCCAUUGGCAUGCGUGCUUCAUCGCUCAGUCCUGUCCAACCCUUCGAGACCCUUUGGACCCCAGCCCGCCAGGCUCCUCUGUCCAUGAGAUUCUUCAGGCAAGAGUACUGGAGCAAGUUGCCAUUUCCUCAUCCAGGGCAUCUUCCCAGGCUGAGGAUUGAACCCCUGUCUCCUGCGUCUCCUGUAUCGACAGGCGGAUCCGUUACCGCUGCGCUAGCUGGGAAGCCCAGUUUUUAUGCCAGUACCAUGCUGUGUGACUGCUAUAGAUUUACUGUCAAGUUUUAAAUCAGGGAUCUUCCUGACCCAGGGAUCAAACCCAGGUCUCCUACAUUGGCAAGCAGAUUGUUUACACUGAGCCACCAGGAAAGUCAGCCAAGUCUUCUGACUUUUCCCCAAAAAUCAGAAACCUGAAUUCAUUUUUCCUGUUUCUGUACAUUGCCAACUAAAGAUAAUUUUUCGAGACUUCCCUGGCACUCCAGUGAUGAAGACUUUGCCCUCCAAUGCAGGACGUGCAGAUUCGAUCCCUGGUUGCCUCUGGGCCAAAAUUUAAAAAAAAAAAAAAUGAAACAGAAGCAGUAUUCCGAUAAACUCAAUAAAGACUUCUAAAAAAUGAUCCACAA